UAAAGUUUGUGUUUUUUGUCCGUCUGUGGUAUUUUCAAUUUAUUAAAAUGAGAAUGUCGUCAUUUGGUAUACAUGUGCAUGUGUUGCAGUGUCUGCAUGAAAUUAAAAUGCGGACAAAGAUAAAAGACAAGAAAAAUGUAAAUUUCAAUACACUAUCUUUAGUCUUUUAAUGUAUUGGGGUUCUUUUUAUUUUUUAUUUUUUGUCUUUUAGCUCCGUUAGCAUGAAUUUUUUAUGUAGAUAUCCUCACACGAGCAUGACUCUCUCUCUCUCUCUCUCUCUAUAUAUAUAUAUAGACACACACACACACCAAUAUUAAAGUGUGGGAACCGUAACCAAAUUAACACUACCUAUUACACUAUUACACCAUAGAGCGUAAUAGCUUUUCCACAUUUUAACAAAAUGUGGGAAUCAUCUUUGAAAAAUUUCUGUACACACACACACACAAAUUCUCAAGUACAGACGUAUACAAGAACUUUCAUAUGGAUUUGGAGUUUCACAAUGAUGUGAAAGGUUUUCACAUUGUUGCAAAUCAUUUUUUGAGACUAUUAUAAAAGCCCUUUACACUGUUGUGAAAUUCUAAAUUCCCACAAAAAUUUGUAUGGACAUAUGCAAUAGAGAAGGCCUAUAUAUGUGUAGAAAAUCUUAGGUAUAAGUACCCUCAUUUUUUUCAUGUAAAUAUGUUAUUAAAUUAUAUGAUUUAAUAAAAUCAGUAUCUAAUUCACUAUAAAGCUAUAUGUUUAAUCACGUGUAUACAUUAACUCUCUUAAACCAUAUAGAAUUAAUAAUAUGUCCGCAAGAAAAGAAAUUAAAACGAGUGCAACCGCAUCAGAAAAUGACAAUGACAACUUUGGAAAGCAAAUGCUUUGAUUGAAUGGAAACGCAAAUUCAUUCUCUUUAUCUAUCGUUUAUGGUGCGUUUUCAUUUUGAUUGUCAUCCAUGCAAAUUAUUAUUAUAAUUUUGUAUAUAAGCCAAGAAAAAGCGCAGAGAAAUUAAAGCUUAAAGCAAAGCACUCAGAUGUGCUAUACAUCAAAGAGAAAUGGUCAAUCUUUGACCAAACUUGUUGAAUAUGACGUGAUUUAAUUUUGUAUAGAUUCAAUAAUUGAAGGCUUUUUGGUCAAGGAGAUACGCUUUUGAGUAAACAAAGCGAUUACCAGAGUAAGCUUUGCUUUGCAUUUUGGCACAAAGGGUAGUCAUUAAUAGAAUAUAUUGCAAUCUUCUUUAAAAAAAAAUUAUUAAAGAGAAAGAGAAGGUGGAAUUUAAAGAAGAGAAAAGGGGGAAAAAACACUUUGAAACUUGGAUUUAUGGAAGGCAACAACAAAUAUCUGAAGGAUGAUCAAUAAGAGAGUUAGUAAAAUGUUACGGCUUAUAAUGUGUUGGAAAAGAAAGAAGAUUGAUGCACGGAACAAAUUACUUUUUGCUUUAAUAAUCAUUCAUCUUGUUUAAAAAUUAAUUGGAAAAUUAAAGCCUGACAAAAGAUUGAUAAACAUAUACAUAAAAUAAUGUUUAUUUUAAGCUUGUUUCAAGAAAAAAAAAAUUACAUAUACUCACAUCGUUUUGAGUAUAUUUUUAUCAAUCUUUUAUUAAGCUUUAGUUUAAAUAUGCUCAUAUUAUUAUUGCGGUUUAGAGAAUGAAUUGGAAUCGACUGAAUUGAAGAAGUGUGCUCAAUUAAUUAUUUAAACAUUGUGAUGAUAAAGUGGACAUUAUAGCCUUAACGUGCAAGAGAAGUUCCUUAAUUUCAAGAUUAUAUCGAUUUGGUCAGUCACACGAAAAAUCAAUAUGCAUGCUUAUUUUGGUAAAGCUUAUAUAUUUU
rnacentral:lncRNA from 1 species